rnacentral:tRNA from 1 species
GGGCGAAUAGCUCAGCUGGGAGAGCGCCGCGUUCGCAACGCGGAGGCCGAGGGUUCGAUCCCCUUUUCGUCCACCA